GGAAGCGCCACAACCCAUGUCAUAUAGUGGUGUUUUUAUGAUGGCAAGUUGCAUCGCUCGGAUUGCAAUCUCAUUCCUUUGUUUCUCGUGCUAUGGUGAGGUGGAAAAUGGAAAAGGAGGCUUUGGAAGACGUUCUAGGUUUGAAAGCUGAUAGCAGGCACGUCUUCGAAAGAACUGCAUCUGCUGCCUGCUCGACAUCGAAGUCAUAAG